UGAGGAAUAUUGGGCAAUGCCCGCAAGGGUGACCCAGCAACGCCGCGUGGAGGAUGAAUGUCGUAAGAUUGUAAACUCCUGUUAGAGGGGAAGAAUAGUACCGGUUGGACCGGUAUAUGACUGUACCCUCAGAGAAAGCCCCGGCUAACUACGUGCCAGCAGCCGCGGUAAUACGUAGGGGGCAAGCGUUGUCCGGAUUUACUGGGUGUAAAGGGCGCGCAGGCGGGAUAAAAAGUCAGUGGUGAGAUCCUACAGCUUAACUGUAGAACUGCCUUUGAUACUUUUAUUCUUGAGUUCGGGAGAGAGAGACGGAAUUCCAGGUGUAGUGGUGAAAUGCUUAGAUAUGCUACGGAACACCGAUUGCGAAGGCAGCUUACUAUUUCGUAAUUGACGCUGAGGCACGAAAGCGUGGGUAGCGAACA
rnacentral:rRNA from 1 species